rnacentral:tRNA from 1 species
AAAAAGAUAAGCUAAUUAUUAAGCUAAUGGGUUCAUACCCCAUUUAUAGAAGUUAAAACCUCUUCUUUUUA